CGGCGAGUGAAGCGGCAAAAGCUCAAAUUUGAAAUCUGGCUCUCCUGGGUCCGAGUUGUAAUUUGUAGAGGAUGCUUUUGGUGCGGUGCCUUCCGAGUUCCCUGGAACGGGACGCCAUAGAGGGUGAGAGCCCCGUCUGGUUGGAGGCCGAACCUCUGUAAAGCUCCUUCGACGAGUCGAGUAGUUUGGGAAUGCUGCUCUAAGCGGGAGGUAUAUGCCUUCUAAAGCUAAAUAUUGGCCAGAGACCGAUAGCGCACAAGUAGAGUGAUCGAAAGAUGAAAAGCACUUUGGAAAGAGAGUGAAACAGUACGUGAAAUUGUUGAAAGGGAAGCGCUUGCGAUCAGACUUGAGCUUGGUUGAUCCCCCGGGGUUCUCCCCGGUGCACUCUUCCGGGCCCAGGCCAGCAUCAGUUCGCCCGGCCGGAUAAAGGUUUGGGGAAAGUAGCUCUCUCCGGGGAGUGUUAUAGCCCGUUGCGUAAUACCCUCUGGCGGGACUGAGGACAGCGUUCCGCAAGGAUGCUGGCGUAAUGGUCAUAAGCGACCCGUCUUGAAACACGGACCAAGGAGUCUAACUUCCAUGCGAGUGUUUGGGUGUCAAACCCACACGCGAAAUGAAAGUGAACGCAGGUGAGAGCUUCGGCGCAUCAUCGACCGAUCCUGAUGUCCUCUGAAGGAUUUGAGUAAGAGCAUGGGGGUUGGGACCCGAAAGAAGGUGAACUAUGCGUGAAUAGGGUGAAGCCAGAGGAAACUCUGGUGGAGGCUCGCAGCGGUUCUGACGUGCAAAUCGAUCGUCAAAUUUGCGUAUGGGGGCGAGAGACUAAUCGAACC
rnacentral:rRNA from 1 species